UUCUUAGUGGUCCAGUGGUUAAGACUCUGCACUCUGAAUGCAGGGGACCCCAGUUCAAUCCCCGGUCAGGAAA
rnacentral:tRNA from 1 species